rnacentral:rRNA from 1 species
GACGAACGCUGGCGGCGUGCUUAACACAUGCAAGUCGAACGGAAAGGCCCUGCUUUUGUGGGGUGCUCGCGUGGCGAACGGGUGAGUAACACGUGAGUAACCUGCCCUUGACUUUGGGAUAACUUCAGGAAACUGGGGCUAAUACCGGAUAGGAGCUCCUGCUGCAUGGUGGGGGUUGGAAAGUUUCGGCGGUUGGGGAUGGACUCGCGGCUUAUCAGCUUGUUGGUGGGGUAGUGGAUUACCAAGGCUUUGACGGGUAGCCGGCCUGAGAGGGUGACCGGCCACAUUGGGACUGAGAUACGGCCCAGACUCCUACGGGAGGCAGCAGUGGGGAAUAUUGCACAAUGGGCGGAAGCCUGAUGCAGCAACGCCGCGUGCGGGAUGACGGCCUUCGGGUUGUAAACCGCUUUCGCCUGUGACGAAGCGUGAGUGACGGUAAUGGGUAAAGAAGCACCGGCUAACUACGUG